rnacentral:rRNA from 1 species
GAUCAUGGCUCAGGAUGAACGCUAGCGGCAGGCUUAACACAUGCAAGUCGAGGGGCAGCGGGAUGUAGCAAUACAUUGCCGGCGACCGGCGGAUGGGUGCGUAACGCGUAUGCAACCUACCUUAUACAGGGGAAUAACCUUUCGAAAGGGAGACUAACACCCCAUGGUAUUGAUUUAAGGCAUCUUAGAUUAAUUAAAUAUUUAUAGGUAUAAGAUGGGCAUGCGUAUGAUUAGCUAGUUGAUAAGGUAACGGCUUACCAAGGCGACGAUCAUUAGGGGUUCUGAGAGGAAGGUCCCCCACACUGGUACCGAGACACGGACCAGACUCCUACGGGAGGCAGCAGUGAGGAAUAUUGGUCAAUGGGCGCAAGCCUGAACCAGCCAUGCCGCGUGCAAGGAAGACGGCCUUAUGGGUUGUAAACUGCUUUUACAUAAGACUAACCGUAUAUUUGCGAAUAUACCUGAAUGUAUUAUGAGAAUAAGGAUCGGCUAACUCCGUGCCAGCAGCAGC